rnacentral:misc_RNA from 1 species
GAUGAAGAACGUAGCGAAAUGCGAUAAGUAGUGUGAAUUGCAGAAUUCAGUGAAUCUUCGAAUCUUUGAACGCACAUUGCGCCCUUUGGUAUUCCAAAGGGCAUGCCUGUUCGAGCGUCAUUUGUACCCUCAAGCUUUGCUUGGUGUUGGGCGUCUUGUCUCUAGCUUUGCUGGAGACUCGCCUUAAAGUAAUUGGCAGCCGGCCUACUGGUUUCGGAGCGCAGCACAAGUCGCACUCUCUAUCAGCAAAGGUCUAGCAUCCAUUAAGCCUUUUUUUCAACUUUUGACCUCGGAUCAGGUAGGGAUACCCGCUGAACUUAAGCAUAUCAAUAAGCGGAGGA